AUUGAACGCUGGCGGCAGGCUUAACACAUGCAAGUCGGACGGUAACAGGGAGGAAGCUUGCUUUCUUUGCUGACGAGUGGCGGACGGGUGAGUAAUGCUUGGGAAUCUGUUUUAUGGAGGGGGAUAACUACGGGAAACUGUAGCUAAUACCGCGUAAUACCGAGAGAUUAAAGUGUGGGACCGUAAGGCCACAUGCCAUAGAGUGAGCCCAAGUGGGAUUAGGUAGUUGGUGGGGUAAAGGCCUACCAAGCCGUCGAUCUCUAGCUGGUCUGAGAGGAUGACCAGCCACACUGGGACUGAGACACGGCCCAGACUCCUACGGGAGGCAGCAGUGGGGAAUAUUGCACAAUGGGCGCAAGCCUGAUGCAGCCAUGCCGCGUGAAUGAAGAAGGCCUUCGGGUUGUAAAGUUCUUUCGGUGGUGAGGAAGGUUGUAAUGUUAAUAGCAUUAUAAUUUGACGUUAGCCACAGAAGAAGCACCGGCUAACUCCGUGCCAGCAGCCGCGGUAAUACGGAGGGUGCGAGCGUUAAUCGGAAUAACUGGGCGUAAAGGGCACGCAGGCGGAUACUUAAGUGAGGUGUGAAAGCCCUGGGCUUAACCUAGGAAUUGCAUUUCAUACUGGGUAUCCAGAGUAUUUUAGGGAGGGGUAGAAUUCCACGUGUAGCGGUGAAAUGCGUAGAGAUGUGGAGGAAUACCGAAGGCGAAGGCAGCCCCUUGGGGGAAUACUGACGCUCAUGUGCGAAAGCGUGGGGAGCAAACAGG
rnacentral:rRNA from 1 species